GAUGAACGCUAGCUACAGGCUUAACACAUGCAAGUCGAGGGGCAGCAUGGUCUUAGCUUGCUAAGGCCGAUGGCGACCGGCGCACGGGUGAGUAACACGUAUCCAACCUGCCGUCUACUCUUGGACAGCCUUCUGAAAGGAAGAUUAAUACAAGAUGGCAUCAUGAGUCCGCAUGUUCACAUGAUUAAAGGUAUUCCGGUAGACGAUGGGGAUGCGUUCCAUUAGAUAGUAGGCGGGGUAACGGCCCACCUAGUCUUCGAUGGAUAGGGGUUCUGAGAGGAAGGUCCCCCANAUUGGAACUGAGACACGGCCCAGACUCCUACGGGAGGCAGCAGUGGGGAAUAUUGCACAAUGGGGGAAACCCUGAUGCAGCAACGCCGCGUGAGUGAUGACGGCC
rnacentral:rRNA from 1 species